ensembl:lncRNA
GAAAGAUACACCUAAGCUGACUAAGAAUGGAUACUGUGCAAAUCUUAAGACAGCACAGAGAUUCGAGAACUAUAGCAGAAUGAAAGGCUGGGGAUAGUCACUGCAGGCUCAGGACUCCUGGCCCUAGGCUAAGCCCCAUUCUAAUUCAAGUCAAAGGAACAGAAGAGAGUUCUCCUGCAGGGCACAGGAAGGAAGGUGGAAUUCUCCCUCCUACAAAGGAGAAGAUUUAUGUUUGAGUCACAGUGUAGUGGCAAGAACUACUCUUGUGUGUUGAUCUCACCUCUGACGCUACUUGGGUCUCUAUGUCAGGAGAGUCACUUCCAACGUUCCUCGCUCCACAGCUUCAUCUGUGUGAUGGGCAGGUGUGGCUAGACCAGCAUUUCCUAAACUAUGUUCCUUGGAACAUCUGAUUCUCUUCUGCACUAAUAGGUGGCCACUAGCCACAUGUGGCUGUUGAGCACUUGAAACAUGGCUAGGGCCACAUUUUAAACUGUAAAAACUAAAGCAGUAUACAGCGGAAAAAAAGCGUGAAGGAAGCCAUCUGCAAGCCAGGAAGACAAUCCUCACCAGAAACCAACCAUGCUGGCACCCUGAACUAAUGUAUGUACUAUGAAGGCAAAGACGUGGUUUGGGUCACUGCUAUAUCUCCAGCACAGGAACGCUGCCUGGUACACAAUACCCCAAUAAUGGCUUUCCUCUUGCUCCUUUCUGCUUCCUGACCAAACCUGGUGCUCCCCAUGUGGCCCUGCAUGACAUGGCCUGCCCACUCCUCUCAGGAAAUGUUGUUGAGGCGGCUGAUACGAAUACCUCGUGCUCUGACAACUCCAGGAAAGCUGGGCCUCCAGAGAUCUCAGGUGAAGAGAGGGCACCUAGACCACUGCAUGCUGCCAGAUAUUCUGGAGGGUUGGAGACUGGAGCUCCUGCAGGCUGAUUUCCUGACCACUCCAUCCUCUAAUCUUCAGGGGCAUCGAAGCUCCUAUGAAGACUCCACUGCCAGACCAAGUCACCUUAUAAGGAAGAUCCCCCAAGAAGGAACUAUGAGAUAGGAACUAACCUAUGGUGUAACAAAGUGAGACCAGCUGAAGUGACAGGUGGGCAUAUUUGGGGAGUAUCUACAACCCCCUUAUGCCACGAAGAGUUUCUCCAUACAAUAUUUUGGGUCUACACACGACAAUGCAUCUGCAAGGUACAAGUCAUCUUUCAAAAUCACAUUUAUCAUGGGGAGGCCGAGGCUUAAAGAUAUUAAGUGACUUGCACCAGAUCUCCCCAGCUAGCCAAGACCGGAACUCAGGACUGAGGAACUCCAAAGACCCUGUCCUCCAUCUAUGCAGUGUUACCUUCUCCCUAAGCCUCCCUUGCAGUUUAAUGUCACCAUGUCAAUGGAAUAUGAACAGAAAUGAUGUGUGCCGCUUUCAGACUUGGCCCAUAAAAUCCUCCGGUGCAUGCUCCUCUGUGUGUUAUCAUCUUCUCUCAGCUGGAUGCAAACGAUGGUGAGAUCCUAUGUUUUGGGGUGAAGCCACAGACGGAAGGGACCUGGGUCCUUGAAUGACUGUAUGGAAGAGAGCCUGCUUCCCUAACUGAACACCUACCAGGACUGUUAGACGAGCAAGAAAUAAAUUUCUACUGCAUGGUGGACUCUGUGAUCCACCACCUAGAUUCCAUUUCAGUGAAGGACUUGUUACCCCGGCUAAGGGAGUGCUGUCGGCAGAACCUUCAGUUCUCAGCCCCUUCAGGGACUGCCUCAGCUCUCAGAGAGUUGCCUCAUCCAAGGUCAUGCCCUUCCAGGGAAAGACCACAUCCAGAGACCAAGCAAUGUGAGAGCUCACGUCCAGCCACUGCAGUCCAACGCUUCUGUGGGGUUGACCAAGGUUGUCAUCACGCCUGAUUUGCAGCUCAACUUCUCUCUUCUCCAAUCCUGCUUCCUUUCUUUCUUUUCUACAGAUUUUCAAUCUAACAAUAAUAAACAUCCCGCACUCGAAGCUUUCCAAGUCUGCUUCUUGGAGAAGCCCCCCUGAGGCACAG